GACGAACGCUGGCGGCGUGCUUAACACAUGCAAGUCGAACGGAAAGGCCCUGCUUUUGUUGGUUGCUCGAGUGGCGAACGGGUGAGUAACACGUGAGUAACCUGCCCUUGUCUUUGGGAUAACUUCAGGAAACUGGGGCUAAUACCCGAUAUGAUCUCCUGCUGCAUGGUGUUGGUUGGAAAGUUUCGGCGGUUGGGGAUGGACUCGCGGCUUAUCCGCUUGUUGGUGGGGUAGUGGCUUACCAAGGCUUUGACGGAUAGCCGGCCUGAGAGGUUGAACGGCGACAUGGGGACUGAGAGACGGCCCAGAAUCGUACGGGAGGCAACAGGGGGGAAUAUGGCAGAAUGGGCGGAAGCGAGAUGCAGAAACGCCGCGUGCGGGAUGACGGCCUUCGGGUUGUAAACCGAUGUCGCCGGUGACGAAGAGUGAGUGACGGUAAUGGGUAAAGAAGCACCGGCUAACUACGUG
rnacentral:rRNA from 1 species